ensembl:lncRNA
AUGACAGGGACCACACAAGCUGCACAAGAAAACCACGUGCAAGACCUUCUCUUCCUUCUUAUUUGCUUUACAAGGGAGAAGCCUGAUAGCAGCUUUGUCAGAUUAGAAGCCGUGAGGAAUCUGCUCAGGCUGAAGACCAAACCUUGCCCUCGCUUCUCCACGAAAGACUGCACAGUGCGAAGAGCGCUUGCAUCCACCCCUUUGCCCUCAUUUCUGUGCCAGCUGUCAGUCAUGCUAAGGCCUUCAUUGGAACUGCAGCAUCCCAGCUGAAAAUGCCUCAACAGGUGGAAGUUAUGUCCAUGAGGACACAUAAAUUGUCAACACCUGCCCGUCUCUUCUGGGAUGGAGCCACUGGCAGGGACUGGUUGGGUUGCUAAGCAGAUCUGUCUGCCAUGGUGGAGCUUUACGAACACCUCUGCAUAUGGAUUAAAGGUAAAAUGAUUUCCUAAUAAUUUGUAGAGUUUUUUAACAACAAUAGCAAGUUCUUAGGGGUGGGAAACACUUUCUCUUUUUUCUCCAGGGUUUGGCAUGGUAGGUUUUGUGCAGGCACAGCUUCUGUCACUAAUAGUGCUGGAUGCACAUAAAGCACUGUACUCUCAUACUGUACUGUAGAGAUGAAUAACAAGCUGUUCUGGUUGCUCUGCUACAUAUUCAUAAAAAACAAAAAGGAAACAGAAGCACAGAGCAAGCCAACAGAUGUCUACCUGGCUCUUAAUUGGAUUUUAUGUGUCCCCAGUGUAGCAAAUACAGCAUUAUUUACAGCCAGGCUCUAAGAAUUAGAUACAUCUGGAGGAGUGGUGAAACCUGAACCAGACUAUGGGAGUUGGUAGGUUAACUGAAAUGAAGAGCUGCCCCAUUUUCCCCUUAUCUUCUCCCUUCCCACCUAUGUACCGGUUCUCUGUUGUGUGUUGAAUCAAACCAAGAUAUUGCCCAAGGGAAUGCUUAUAAAAAUGAAAAAUGCCAGCAAAAAAGGAGAAUUUCUAGUCUUGUGGAGCUUCAUCAGCAUUUUCUAAUUGUACAGCAAUGAUGAUAAUAAAAAGGCUGCCCUCUGCUCUCAGCUAUAAUUUGGAUAAUCAACUGAAAGCCGUAAUGAAACUGUCUGUGAUUGCUUUCUGCUGGGCUGCUAGUUCACAGAAGCUCAUUGUUGGGCAGAAUUAAAAGUUAUGACUCCUGCUACAGGGAUACACCACUGUGUUCCAAAGGAACAUGUGACUUUGUAAUUCUCUUCUGUAUGGCUUUAUUACAGGCAAACCUUGCAUAAAGCAGAGAGGUAUAGAGAGUUAAGCUUUUGUUUCUUUGCCUGUUUUCUAGAAAGUUGUUCAGUGUCAGAGCUGGCAGUACCAGAUAGCAUGUGUGCCUGGCCGGGGGCACUUGCAGGCACAUAGGAUUUGGGGUGGUCUCUGGCCUUAGGGUGCAUGUGGCCGCGGGGCACGCUGCCCGCAGCACAGGAGCCGCAGGGCAGCGGGCGAGGGCAAGGCGGGAGCCAAGCCGUGCUACGGGUCGUGCUUUGGGUCGUUGCCCCAAGGGCCGCGGGUGCGGCGAGGGGCAGUUCGGGUGUGUGAGGUGCUGGGCACAGGCGCUCGCCCGCGCCAGGCCGCGGAGCGACCGUGCCGGGCCGCGGCUGCGCCUUGGCUAGUCGGGCCGGUGCUGGAGGCGAGUGCCGCGGCCCUGGCCGCCCUUCCACCCGCGCCCCGGGCGGCGCAGGGCUGGGGAGCCGCCUGCCUCCCGGGCCGGAGCGAGAGCGCCGCCGCAGCGGGCCUGGCCCCAGCUCCUCGCCGCGCCCCGGGCGCCACCCGGGCUGGGCGCUCAGGUCCGCGCUGCCGAGCCCGGGCGGCCGAGCGCAGCCGCGACCGGACCCGCCCGCCCCGGGGCGCUGGGACGGGACCGCGGCCCCGGGCAGGCGCCGGCCUCGCUCGUUCGCGCCGCGCCCGGCGGGAGAGAGGG